UGGGGAAUAUUGGACAAUGGGCGAAAGCCUGAUCCAGCCAUGCCGCGUGUGUGAAGAAGGUCUUCGGAUUGUAAAGCACUUUAAGUUGGGAGGAAGGGCAGUAAGCGAAUACCUUGCUGUUUUGACGUUACCGACAGAAUAAGCACCGGCUAACUCUGUGCCAGCAGCCGCGGUAAUACAGAGGGUGCAAGCGUUAAUCGGAAUUACUGGGCGUAAAGCGCGCGUAGGUGGUUCGUUAAGUUGAAUGUGAAAGCCCCGGGCUCAACCUGGGAACUGCAUCCGAAACUGGCGGGCUAGAGUAGGGCAGAGGGUGGUGGAAUUUCCUGUGUAGCGGUGAAAUGCGUAGAUAUAGGGAGGAACACCAGUGGCGAAGGCGACCACCUGGGCUCAUACUGACACUGAGGUGCGAAAGCGUGGGGAGCAAACAGG
rnacentral:rRNA from 1 species